rnacentral:rRNA from 1 species
UACCCCGAGGAAAAGAAAUCAACCGAGAUUCCCCCAGUAGCGGCGAGCGAACGGGGAGGAGCCCAGAGCCUGAAUCAGCAUGUGUGUUAGUGGAAGCGUCUGGAAAGGCGCGCGAUACAGGGUGACAGCCCCGUACACAAAAGCGCAUGUGCUGUGAGCUCGAUGAGUAGGGCGGGACACGUGGUAUCCUGUCUGAAUAUGGGGGGACCAUCCUCCAAGGCUAAAUACUCCUGACUGACCGAUAGUGAACCAGUACCGUGAGGGAAAGGCGAAAAGAACCCCGGCGAGGGGAGUGAAAAAGAACCUGAAACCGUGU